rnacentral:rRNA from 1 species
UACGUAGGGUGCGAGCGUUUAAUCGGAAUUAUUGGGCGUAAAGAGCUUGUAGGCGGUUUGUCGCGUCUGCUGUGAAAAUCCGGGGCUCAACCCCGGACUUGCAGUGGGUACGGGCAGACUAGAGUGUGGUAGGGGAGACUGGAAGUUCCUGGUGUAGCGGUGAAAUGCGCAGAUAUCAGGAGGAACACCGAUGGCGAAGGCAGGUCUCGUGGGCCAGCUACUGACGCUGAGAAGCGAAAGCAUGGGGAGCGAACAGG